GAUACUUGUUGGCUACCUGAGAUCUCACAUGCCAAUGUGUCCACACUUGCUAGUGAGGAAAUAGAUAACAUGCUUUUCCAGGUUGGUGAUUUUCAUCCAGGAGAGAGUGAGCAGCUUGAGCUUUACAUGAUAACAUUGAUACAGUGGGAUCUAGGUCCAGUAGAAUUUUACAAAUCAAACUGUAGGUGCCCUGCUGCAGAACUGAUAGGGUGGUGCUGAUUCUAGUUUGUUCAUACAAUCUGUUUAUGUUAUGCUGAAAGCUAGUUUCUUCUUUAUCAUGAGGUACUACUUGGCCCAACAGUCAUGGAAUUUCUGGGAUCUUUAGUCACCAAGAUACAAUUCAUGGUCAUGCGGUUGUUUGGGGACAAGCAACCAUUUGUGGGGGUGGAAAGGAUAUAUGGCAACACAGGUUAAAGUCGUGUUUUAAAAUGGAAAUGCAUGCUACAGUCCUGGGUGUCAAUGAUGUAUUGCAGCAUAUCAGUGCUUGUUCUCUAUUCCUGCAGCUUGGUCGCAGAAAACUAUAUAGGGUGGUGAUGACUUCUGUUCUAAGGCCCAGAGAUUUGCUGCUGAAGAGCUAUACAACAUUCUUGACCAAGUCGAUGAACUAUUGUUGCUUCCUGACCAAAAGCUCGGGAGACCAUGGUGUGACACUGAUCUAAUAUGUGAACCGAUUCUGUCUUGGAGACUCAAUGGUGGCAGCCCAAGCAAAUGUUUGUUGCAACUCAAGACAUACAUAGUCAGACAGUGGGAUCCAGGAAUUUCUGGGAUCUUUAGUCAUCGAGAUACAAUUCAAGGUCAUGCGGUUGCUUGGGGACAAGCAACAUUUUGUGAGGGUGGAAAUGUAACAUCCAUGAAUAGCAACAUGUCCAGGGCUUUAGCUGACAAGCGGGCCACCCACCCAUGGGACCCAGGUGGAAGACCAGAUGCUGGGUAUAAGUUCCAAGAGUCUGUAUGGGGGAAGGCAAGAAAGAAAAUACAAAAAAAUAGUCGUCUUCUUCCUCGUGAAGGACGGUCUAGGUGAGAUUGUCCUCUUGUCGAGAUCCUCACGUCCCGGUCCUCACCACGGGUGGCCACGGGGUGUGACAUGAUACUAGGAGAUGUAACGGAGCAAAGAAUUCUGAGAGGAGCCAAAGAUGAGGAUAAGGGAUACUGAAGAUCCUCGUCGAGCUGGACAAGGAUCUCAAGUCUGCUCUGUGCGAUUUGGAAGACGUCCUGGAUGUUAUUGAAUAUCGCUGAAUCGAGAAGAAAGUCAUCGGUGGUGACAAAAAGUUGAUCAGCACUACUAUUUGCAUCUGGGCGCUGCAAGCUAUUGGCGAUUGGAUCACCUACUGGAAGCGUAGCUCGUUCGGGCAAAAGCUGUUGCAGUGCGCGCGCCCAGAACCAGUAUCAGAAGCUCAGGGACCUUGGAGAGAAGCUGCAGAAGUGCGCUCAGGAUCUGGAUCUGAAGUUUUGGGACCUUGUAGCUAAGCUACAGCAGUGCGCCCAGAACCUGAAUCACAUGUUCUGGGACUUUCAAGCUAAGUUCUUGCAGUGCACCCAAAGCCUGCCACUGUAUAUCCAUCAGGGAGCAGCUGGGCAACCACCAAUGCGGCAAUGCCUGAUUCACCCGCCGCAAGAUCCACUGCAGAAUUCAGGGAUGACAUUGAACAAGGACCAUCGACGCCUGAUGAUGCACCCUCGAAUCCACCGUCGCCUAAUGCCCUCCCGAAUGCUGCUGGCUCCACCACUGGCAAUCAACACGGAUCAGCUGAGGAGGCACCGACGCCUGAUGCACCCUCGAAUUCCCUGGUGCAGAUGAUCUGCGACUGAUUGGUCUAUGGGUUUACAGCACUCCGUUCUUUUUAUUUGGCUGCGCGUCAUCUUCGGGACUGGUCAUAUGAACCGAUUGGCAUCAAAGAAUGAUGGUGGUACUGCAACAGAUUGGGACCUUCCUACUAAUGAGAUAAUCAGCUUGAGGAAAAGGAUAAAGAACAUAGAAUAUAUUGUCAGUGAGACAAAUAAAUCACCUCUGUCGAAACAUAGUAGCAGCAGCACAAAGAAUGAAAUUGAUGACAAGGAAAGCAGCAGCACCAAGAACAGCGGCAAUGUAAGGAGCACCAAACAGAAGGAAAUUGACUACGUAUACAGAAGCAUUGAAAAGAAAGUUAAAGUUUUCGGUCGAGACAAGGUCCAUGAAGAUAUAAGGUGCUUCAUAAUGGACCGGCUACCGAUGCACCAAGCUCCGACUCCAGUAAACCUUAUUCUGUGAUUGGCAUAUAUGGAAUUACAGGUUCUGGGAAGACUACUCUGGCACAAUAUGUUUGUGAGUAUGAGAAGGGUGAGGUUUCAAUCCUAUCAUGUUCAUCCAUGUGGGAACUACAUUCAGUGCCGGUGAAAUAUUUUGUGAUAUGCUGGACCAGAUCACGCAACAGCGGCCCUCUGAUGCCAACGGUCCUAAAAGCCUAAAAACAGAGUUAAAAGAUCUAACACUACAGCAAACGCCAAAAUAUACAGCUACUCUUGUUGACUGUCCAAAUUCAAAAUACACAGCUUAUAAGCAAGGCUGUAUAUGUUUGCUACUAACUCAUACCUAUAGGCAGCUAAGACCGGUGUUAUGCCAAGUGACAUUGAAGUGUACAUAGCUGACCAUAAGGGACCAGACCCUUCCAAACCUGAGGAGUUGUGCAGUCAGGCUUGCACAGAUCGGCUGAAUAUGGUCAAGAAAUGGUGAGGCGCCAUGAAAAGGACUACGACCGGAGAAAAGCACCAAUCGAUCCCAUGGUGGUGUAUGCUACUGGAGGCAGAAAGAGUCAUGGGCGGUACUCCAUGUUUAAUGGAGUGAUUGACUCCAGAGAGGUUAGAUCUCAGAGGUCGGGGUCUUCCUCCGAACGAUCAGGGGCUAGAACUCAUCGCCAAUCAGAGCAUGAGUUGGAGGUUGCAAGGGUGCAAGAGGAGAUAAGGCAACGUGAUGCAUUCCAAAGGCACAACAUGAGUACUUUGCCUCAUUCUUGGCGCAGCAGCAGACCGUGCUUCAAGCAACUUUCCAACAGCAGGGGAUAAACGUAGUCCUUCCACAAUUUCAACCUCCACCACUGCCACCAAUAUGGGGAUCGGGUACCCAAUACCUUCUGCAAGUCAAUCAAUGGAUUCUAGCAAAACCUGCUUCAACUAGCAAAACAUAGUAAAUGGAUCGGCGGCACAAGGGCCCCAGAUUUACCAUACUCCACCUGCAUAGAUACUAGCACCUGGAGACCAGUUCUACGGCCGAUGCUGGAACUACAUUUGUAAAUGCAAUCUUCG